UGCAAGUCGAGCGAACAGAUGAGAAGCUUGCUUCUCUGAUGUUAGCGGCGGACGGGUGAGUAACACGUGGGUAACCUACCUAUAAGACUGGGAUAACUCCGGGAAACCGGGGCUAAUACCGGAUAAUAUUUUGAACCGCAUGGUUCAAUAGUGAAAGACGGUUUCGGCUGUCACUUAUAGAUGGACCCGCGCCGUAUUAGCUAGUUGGUAAGGUAACGGCUUACCAAGGCGACGAUACGUAGCCGACCUGAGGGGUGAUCGGCCACACUGGAACUGAGACACGGUCCAGACUCCUACGGGAGGCAGCAGUAGGGAAUCUUCCGCAAUGGGCGAAAGCCUGACGGAGCAACGCCGCGUGAGUGAUGAAGGUCUUCGGAUCGUAAAACUCUGUUGUUAGGGAAGAACAAAUUUGUUAGUAACUGAACAAGUCUUGACGGUACCUAACCAGAAAGCCACGGCUAACUACGUGCCAGCAGCCGCGGUAAUACGUAGGUGGCAAGCGUUAUCCGGAAUUAUUGGGCGUAAAGCGCGCGUAGGCGGUUUCUUAAGUCUGAUGUGAAAGCCCACGGCUCAACCGUGGAGGGUCAUUGGAAACUGGGAAACUUGAGUGCAGAAGAGGAGAGUGGGAAUUCCAUGUGUAGCGGUGAAAUGCGCAGAGAUAUGGAGGAACACCAGUGGCGAAGGCGGCUCUCUGGUCUGUAACUGACGCUGAUGUGCGAAAGCGUGGGGAUCAAACAGGAUUAGAUACCCUGGUAGUCCACGCCGUAAACGAUGAGUGCUAAGUGUUAGGGGGUUUCCGCCCCUUAGUGCUGCAGCUAACGCAUUAAGCACUCCGCCUGGGGAGUACGACCGCAAGGUUGAAACUCAAAGAAUUGACGGGGACCCGCACAAGCGGUGGAGCAUGUGGUUUAAUUCGAAGCAACGCGAAGAACCUUACCAAAUCUUGACAUCCUUUGACCGCUCUAGAGAUAGAGUCUUCCCCUUCGGGGGACAAAGUGACAGGUGGUGCAUGGUUGUCGUCAGCUCGUGUCGUGAGAUGUUGGGUUAAGUCCCGCAACGAGCGCAACCCUUAAGCUUAGUUGCCAUCAUUAAGUUGGGCACUCUAGGUUGACUGCCGGUGACAAACCGGAGGAAGGUGGGGAUGACGUCAAAUCAUCAUGCCCCUUAUGAUUUGGGCUACACACGUGCUACAAUGGAUAAUACAAAGGGCAGCGAAUCCGCGAGGCCAAGCAAAUCCCAUAAAAUUAUUCUCAGUUCGGAUUGUAGUCUGCAACUCGACUACAUGAAGCUGGAAUCGCUAGUAAUCGUAGAUCAGCAUGCUACGGUGAAUACGUUCCCGGGUCUUGUACACACCGCCCGUCACACCACGAGAGUUUGUAACACCCGAAGCCGGUGGAGUAACCUUUUAGGAGCU
rnacentral:rRNA from 2 species